rnacentral:rRNA from 1 species
GACGAACGCUGGCGGCGUGCUUAACACAUGCAAGUCGAACGAUGAAGAAGAGAAACGCGAACUUCGGUUCAAAUUUCACUUCGGAUUAGUGGCAGACGGGUGAGUAACGCGUGAGCAACCUACCUCUUACAAAGGGAUAGCCUCGGGAAACCGUGAUUAAUACCAUAUGACACAUUCAUAAGGCAUCUUAAGAAUGUUAAAGCCACGGCGGUAAGAGAUGGGCUCGCGUCCCAUUAGCUAGUUGGUGAGGUAACGGCCCACCAAGGCGACGAUGGGUAACCGGCCUGAGAGGGUGAACGGUCACAUUGGAACUGAGACACGGUCCAAACUCCUACGGGAGGCAGCAGUGGGGAAUAUUGCACAAUGGAGGGAACUCUGAUGCAGCGACGCCGCGUGAGCGAUGAAGGAAUUCGUUUCGUAAAGCUCUGUUCUAUGGGAAGAAAAGGACUGUACCAUAGGAGAAAGCCCCGGCUAAAUACGUG